rnacentral:rRNA from 1 species
AGAAUCAACGCUGGCGGCGUGCCUAACACAUGCAAGUCGAACGAGAAAGUGGAGCAAUCCAUGAGUAAAGUGGCGCACGGGUGAGUAACACGUGACUAACCUACCCUUGAGUGGGGGAUAACCUCGGGAAACCGGGGCUAAUACCGCAUAAUAUCGAGAGAUCAAAGGAGCAAUUCGCUUAAGGAGGGGGUCGCGGCUGAUUAGCUAGUUGGUAGGGUAAUGGCCUACCAAGGCUAUGAUCAGUAUCCGGCCUGAGAGGGCGCACGGACACACUGGAACUGAAACACGGUCCAGACUCCUACGGGAGGCAGCAGUGGGAAUUUUGCGCAAUGGGGGAAACCCUGACGCAGCAACGCCGCGUGGAGGAUGAAGUCCCUUGGGACGUAAACUCCUUUCGAUCGGGACGAUAAUGACGGUACGGAAGAGAAGCCCGGCUAACUCGCGCCAGCAGCCGAC